UUAAAGGCAAUGAUCGAGAGUUUUAAAUACGCUAACUAGUCAGAGAAGAAGCCGUUUAGUGUGAGGCUUUCUAGUUAGUAUUUAAUUGUAGCUCGUUAGCCGCCGGAUUGAAGUUAGUAGGCCCGGCCGGAACUUGGUUUUCGUUAACUUUUCAAGUGGAGUCAAAGACUCAAUUUAGGUGGUACCACGGCUAAGUCGUCCUAUUU
rnacentral:ncRNA from 1 species